rnacentral:snRNA from 1 species
AUUGCUUCUCGGCCUUUUGGCUAAGAUCAAGUGUAGUAAGUUAUUUUAUAAUGUAAAGAUGUAAUCAAAUGCAGAGAUUUAAAAGUUUGAUUCUGUGAAGUUACUAAAACAACUGCCUGGUCUUUCCAAACACUU